CCUACGGGAGGCAGCAGUAGGGAAUUUUGCGCAAUGGGCGAAAGCCUGACGCAGCAACGCCGCGUGAUCGAGACGCCCUUCGGGGUGUAAAGAUCUGUCAGUGGGGACGAAACUUGACGGUACCCACAGAGGAAGCACCGGCUAACUCCGUGCCAGCAGCCGCGGUAAUACGGGGGGUGCAAGCGUUGUCCGGAAUCAUUGGGCGUAAAGAGUUCGUAGGCGGCACGUAAAGUCUGGUGUUAAAGGCAGAGGCUCAACUUCUGUACGGCACUGGAUACUUGCGAGCUAGAAUGCGGUAGAGGUAAAGGGAAUUCCUGGUGUAGCGGUGAAAUGCUUAGAUAUCAGGAGGAACAUCGGUGGCGUAAGCGCUUUACUGGGCCGUAAUUGACGCUGAGGAACGAAAGCCAGGGUAGCAAAUGGGAUUAGAUACCCGAGUAGUC
rnacentral:rRNA from 1 species